AGUCCCUGGUGGAGAGGUCACAGGCUGCCCAUUCCAGGGGCAACCUGGGCUCCUUGCAGCUGGAGGUGCGGCUGCGGGACGAGACGGUGCUGCCCUCCAGCUACUACCAGCCACUGGUGCACCUGCUGUGCCACGAGGUCAAGCUGAGCAUGCAGGGCCCAGGGCAGCUGAUCCCACUCAUCGAGGAGACAACCAGCACCGAGUGUCGCCAGGACGUGGCCACGAACCUGCUCAAGCUCUUCCUGGGGCAGGGGCUGGCCAAGGACUUCCUGGACCUGCUCUUCCAGCUGGAGCUGAGUCGCACCAGUGAGACCAACACCCUGUUCCGGAGCAACUCUCUGGCCUCAAAGUCCAUGGAGUCUUUUCUGAAGGUGGCCGGGAUGCAGUACCUGCACGGCGUCCUGGGCCCCAUCAUCAACAAGGUGUUUGAGGAGAAGAAGUACGUGGAGCU
rnacentral:lncRNA from 1 species